rnacentral:ncRNA from 1 species
UGGCUCAUUAAAUCAGUUAUGGUUCAUUUGAUCGUACAGUUUACUUGGAUAACUGUGGUAAUUCUAGAGCUAAUACAUGCGAGAAGCGCCGACCUCGCGGGAGGCGUGCAUUUAUCAGACCAAAAACCGGCCGCGUCUUCGGGCGCGUUCGCCUUGGUGACUCUGGAUAACUUUGCGGAUCGCACGGUCUAGCACCGGCGACGGAUCAUUCAAGUGUCUGCCCUAUCAACUUUCGUCGGUACGGUAUUUGCCUACCGAGGUUCUUACGGGUGACGGGGAAUCAGGGUUCGAUUCCGGAGAGGGAGCCUGAGAAACGGCUACCACAUCCAAGGAAGGCAGCAGGCGCGCAAAUUACCCAUUCCCGACGCGGGGAGGUAGUGACGAAAAAUAACAAUGCGGACUCGUUCGAGGCCCUGUAAUUGGAAUGAGUACACUUUAAAAGCUUUAACGAGUAUCCAUUGGAGGGCAAGUCUGGUGCCAGCAGCCGCGGUAAUUCCAGCUCCAAAAGUAUAUAUUUAAGUUGUUGCGGUUAAAAAGCUCGUAGUUGGAUUUUGGGCGCAGGCGGCCGGUCCGUCGCAAGGCGUGUACUGGACGUCCUGGCCUUCCCUCCGGUUCUCCGCCGGUGCUCUUGACUGAGUGUCGGCGGCGGCCGGAACGUUUACUUUGACAAAAUUAGAGUGUUCAAAGCAGGCUCUCGAGCCUGGAUAAUGGUGCAUGGAAU